rnacentral:rRNA from 1 species
AUUGAACGCUGGCGGAAUGCUUUACACAUGCAAGUCGAACGGCAGCACGGACUUCGGUCUGGCGGCGAGUGGCGAACGGGUGAGUAAUGCAUCGGAACGUGCCCAAUCGUGGGGGAUAACGUAGCGAAAGUUACGCUAAUACCGCAUACGAUCUAAGGAUGAAAGCGGGGGAUCGCAAGACCUCGCGCGAAUGGAGCGGCCGAUGUUAGAUUAGGUAGUUGGUGGGGUAAAGGCUCACCAAGCCGACGAUCUAUAGCUGGUCUGAGAGGAUGAUCAGCCACACUGGGACUGAGACACGGCCCAGACUCCUACGGGAGGCAGCAGUGGGGAAUUUUGGACAAUGGGCGCAAGCCUGAUCCAGCCAUUCCGCGUGCAGGAUGAAGGCCCUCGGGUUGUAAACUGCUUUUGUACAGAACGAAAAGCUCUGGGUUAAUACCCUGGGGUCAUGACGGUACUGUAAGAAUAAGCACCGGCUAACUACGUGCCAGCCGCCGCCGUAA